AACGAACGCUGGCGGCAGGCCUAACACAUGCAAGUCGAACGCUCCAGCAAUGGAGAGUGGCAGACGGGUGAGUAACGCGUGGGAACCUUCCCUAUGGUUCGGAAUAGCUCAGGGAAACUUGAGGUAAUACCGGAUAAGCCCUUCGGGGAAGGAUUAUCGCCAUUGGAUGGCCCGCGUAGGAUUAGCUAGUUGGUGAGGUAACGGCUCACCAAGGCGACGAUCCUUAGCUGGCUGAGAGGAUGAUCAGCCACACUGGGACUGAGACACGGCCCAGACUCCUACGGGAGGCAGCAGUGGGGAAUAUUGGACAAUGGGCGCAAGCCUG
rnacentral:rRNA from 1 species